AUGAAAUUAAUCUGUGCUAGGAUUAAAUUGCUGUUAUGCAUUUCUCAUUUUUAUUUUGGAUUUGUUUCAGGUAUUAUUUCAGGCACGUUUAGUAUUUUGAAACAAAAUGGAAGAUUGUUCCAGCCUUGGGGAACUGGCUGUCUAUAUAAAAUGAAUAGACACUCCUGGUUUGUUUUUUUGUUCUGUGGGAUAUUUUUGCCCAGAAUCCUUGGUUUUCCACAGACAAAUACUUCAAUUGAUUGUGAUUCUCUGUUACCAAACUAUGAAGCUGAACCACAGACAUCUGCACCACCAUAUGUUAUUGCUGUAUCUUUUGAUAACUUUGAACCAGGAAAUGAAAUCCAAGUGACUUUAGAAGCCCUUAGAGAUGCUGGUUUUAAAGGAUUUAAUCUACAAGCUCGAGAAAUAGAAGGAGAUGGUCCUGUUGGUACUUUUAAAAUUACAGAUCCAAACACAAAAGGCUUGGAAUGUCAUAACAUGACGGUAUGUGUUCACUCUUUUGAAUACUUACAUAAGCUUGGUUUCCUUCUGAAUACUUUAAUUGAUGUAAUAAAAAAAGUGAGCAUUUUUAAUGGCAAUAAUAUUUCUUCAGUAGAGCUUAAUUUAGACUCUCUCAAGACAUGCAUUUAUCUUCUACAUAUGAUACAAAUCUAAUGUAAAAACUACUUGAUACCUCCUAGAAGGACAUCAGUGUUGUAGUACAGGCAGUUACCCUUAUAUAGACAAAAAUUUCUUUUGUGUCUUAUAUAACUAUAUUUCUCUUUAAUUGCAGAAUUCAGCAGUAAGUCAUGCAAACUCAGAUGUGAAACAGAAAGUUACAACAACAUGGAUUGCUCCACAGGAUAUUAAAGAUCUUCAGUUCAUGUAAAUAGUAUUGUUGUUUUUUUUUCUUUCUUUGCCUAGAAAAUUUAUUUUCAUGGAACAUUUUAACAUGCAUUUGUGCUAUUGUUUCUGAUGUAUUUGUUUUGUCACAGUCAAGUUUUGUUUCAUAGGUUAUCAUGCCUUUUCACUGUGUCCAUUAAAUUAAACGAUUUCUGUCUUAAGUCUGUUUAAAAAGUAGCUAAGUAAACACCAUCCUACAGACAUUAAAUAUGUAAAUAAUUCCAUUAAGCACAGUGUCAUUAAUGGAUCCUUGAGUAACCAGUUUUUACACUGUGACUUCUUUAAUUACAGGAGAGACUGUGAUAGUGCAACUUGUUCCCUGAAUAAGUCAUAUUCAGAUUCUAUUCAGUUGUUACUUAAAAAAAAAUAUAUCUUUCCUUUUGGAUAGUGGGGAAAAAUACCAGUUUGUUUGGAAAUGUUUGAAAGUUAAGUUUAAAGACAAUUCAUUUUGGAUGAUAUCAAUCUAAGUUGUCUUCAACAUACUUUUUUUGUCACUUUUGGAGGAUAUGACCCAUGAACUACUGAAGAAAACAGUAGAAGACAAGUUUUUCUAUGUUUAAUAUUACAAGUUUCAGAUCUGUAAGAAAAAGAAUUAUCUGUUAUAACAAAAUGUGUGCUUGUCGUAACUGGAAAAAAUCUCAAUAUUUGAUAGCUUAAUGCUGUAUGAAGUAUAGAUUUAUGACAGGAGACGUCUUGUCCUUGCUUCAUUAAAUCUUGAGAAAUACAAAAAGAAGCAAAAGAAGACAAAUUAAUUAUUUCCACUGCUUAUGACAUGAAAAUCAGAUCUCCAUCAUUCAGAUCAUCUAAAUGAGCAAUGUAAGGAUAUGCAAUAUUCCCCACAAGAGUCAGUGUUUUCCAGAAUAGUGUCCAUUCUUUUUCUUUCCCUGCUCAGUACAAAAUUUAUUUAUCUUCAGAAAGAGAUUGGAUGAUAAUACUGCAAAAACAAAAUAAAUGUUCUGGACAUUCUUUUCA
rnacentral:lncRNA from 1 species